rnacentral:rRNA from 1 species
UACGGGGGGAGCAAGCGUUGUUCGGAUUUACUGGGCGUAAAGGGCGCGUAGGCGGUCGUGACAAGUCACUUGUGAAAUCUCCGGGCUUAACUCGGAACGGUCAAGUGAUACUGUCGGACUAGAGUACAGAAGGGGCAACUGGAAUUCUCGGUGUAGCAGUGAAAUGCGUAGAUAUCUGGAGGAACACCCGUGGCGAAGGCGGCUCUCUGGGACGGUACUGACGCUGAGACGCGAAAGCGUGGGGAGCGAACGAGG